AUUGAACGCUGGCGGCAGGCCUAACACAUGCAAGUCGAGCGAGCGGCGGACGGGUGAGUAAUGUCUGGGAACCUGCCUGAUGGAGGGGGAUAACUACUGGAAACGGUAGCUAAUACCGCAUACCAUCAGAUGUGCCCAGAUGGGAUUAGCUCGUAGGUGGGGUAAUGGCUCACCUAGGAGACGAUCCCUAGCGGGUCUGAGAGGAUGACCAGCCACACUGUAACUGAGACACGGUCCGGACUCCUACGGUAGGCAGCAGUGGGGAAUAUUGCACAAUGGGCGCAAGCCUGAUGAAGCAAGGCCGCGUGUGUGAAGAAGGCCUUCGGGUUGUAAAGCACUUUCAGCGGGGAGGCGUUACCCGCAGAAGAAGCACCGGCUAACUCCGUGCCAGCAGCCGCGGUAAUAC
rnacentral:rRNA from 1 species